UUCCUGUGCAGAAUAUACUAUACUUCCUACUAAUCAUGGUGAGCCAUAGUUGCUUGCCUGAAUUAGUACAAGGUAAAAAUGAAGAUACAGCUAGCAAUGCUACUGCAAAGAUCUCCUUUAUCUCUGGUUAAUGACGUUUACAUGAUAAAAAAACCCCAGCAGCUUGCAGAAACUGGACAAAACAUCUAUGUUCAAGAUGUUUAAGAGUGAUGUUGCUGACAAGCAGUUUAGCCUGGAAACUGCAAUUAAAAAUAUUGAUAAAAUGUCCAGUGAGCUGAAGAAACUAAAUGUGAAAAGCCAACUGCUGCUCUGUGACCUUACUUUGAACUUCAGUCAUCCUGUGAAGACCACAGUUUCAAGGGAGGUAGAAGAAAAGAAAACAGAUUUUGAGGAAUUACAUAAUUCCAUCAAGUUCCAUGCUGAUGCUUCCAUUAACAAUUCUUCUCUUUGAGCCAUUAAAAUUUC
rnacentral:lncRNA from 1 species